GUUGGGCUUCUACUACACCCCUGCAGAGCCAUAGACUGAUCAUCUCUGUGGGACAUCCAUAAACUGUAUAUAGAAUGAACUAUAGCGUCUGCCUCCUUGCUGGGUGAAGCCACCCCGAGAACAGCACCCUCUGUUGAUGGGCUGCAGAAUAGGUCAUAAAUCCCGCCUCCGCCAGCAAAGCUUAAGUGGAUAUGUGGAUAAACUUUAGAAAUUUAUUACACAGAACAUAAAUUUUUCUCCCCCCUGCUUGCAAUGUUGACAUGUAGUUACAGUAAGACUGGUUUGUGCUCAAGUCCUCUUUUUUCUGUGAAGCUCCGUUUUUAAAAGUUAUUAGGGGAUUCAUGUUUUCUUUGAUUGACACCUGAUACAGCCUAUGGGCGUUCAGGGAUUGUGUAGCUCACACGGGGGAUGCGCUGUUUGAGCCAAGCGUCAUCACAGCGACACUCGGCGACUCUCAUGCUGAAUGCGCUCAACGCUACUGCGCAAUGCUGGUUUCAGGAAAUGAAGAAAAAUCAUGGAAAUACUGAGAGCUUUUUGGCUUCAAAUCCGUAUACAGGCGGGAGGCAGGGCCAAGUUGUCCAUAUUAUAUACAGUCUAUGGGGACGUCACAUUGAUGCUGUAAUUCAUGCAAAAGGAACCUUGACCAAGUACUGAGAACAUAAAGAAACAUCAUUUUCUAAGGUCAGCAUUUCUCAAAUGCAGCACUUACUGGAAUGUCAUCCCUCUCUCCUCUAGAUCCUUGCUCAUGUUGUACCUACUCUCAGAUGUAUGUUUCCUUGGACAUAUGUGUCUCUUAUGAAGUUGUAAAGAUAUUGAUCAUAAUUGAGAUUUGCAUACAGCAUCCAUUUUGAAUGUAUUUGUUUCUGUCCUUUUUGUAGCCUCUUUUGAUGAAAUCCUUUUGUGCCACUUUGUCCAAUGAACCAACUCCCGAGUCCCUAGGACGUUCCUCAAAAAAGUUUAUUUUUUCCCAUAGGAAUGCAUGGGAACAAAAAAAUUGAAAAAUUUUCCAAGUGCCGACCCAAUUUUUCACCUUCCAGAAUUGUGUUAGGAGCACGUUUCAGGCCACGGGGAGUCUAUAGAACCUAAUUCUGGGGGACGUUUUUUGAAAAGUUUACUUAGGGUUAGGGUUAGAGUUAGGGUUGGGGUUAGGGUUAGGGUUAGGGUUAGAGCUAGGGUUAGGGUUAGGGUUGGAGCUAGGGUUAGGGUUGGAACUAGGGUUAGGGUUAGGGUUGGGGUUGGAGCUAGGGUUAGGGUUAGGGUUGGAGCUAGGGUUAGGGGUAGGGUUAGGGUUAGGGGUAAGGGUUGGAGCUAGGGUUAGGGUUGGAGCUAGGGUAAGGGUUAGGGUUAGGGUUGGGGUUGGAGCUAGGGUUAGGGGUAGGCUUAGGGUUAGGGUUGGAGCUAGGGUUAGGUUUAGGGUUGGGGUUGGAGCUAGGGUUAGGGUUAAGGUUGGAGCUAGGGUUAGGGUUAGGGUUGGAGCUAGGGUUAGGGUUAGGGUUGGGGUUGGAGCUAGGGUUAGGGUUAGGGUUAAGGUUGGAGCUAGGGUUAGGGUUAGGGUUAAGGUUGGAGCUAGGGUUAGGGUUAGAGCAAGGGUCAGGGUUAGGGUUAGGAUUGGAGCUAGGGUUAGGGUUAGGGUUGGGCUUGGAGCUAAGAUUUUUCUGAGUGCAAUGAACCAACUCCCGAGUCGCUAGGACGUUCCUAAAAAAAAAUUGAUUUUUUCCCAUAGGAAUGCAUGGGUUAGGGUUAGGGUUAGGGUUGGAGCUAGGGUUAGGGUUAGGGUUAGGGUUGGAGUUAGGGUUAGUGUUGGAGCUAGGGUUAGGGUUGGGCUUGGAGCUAGGAUUUUUCUGAGUGCAAUGAACCAACUCCCGAGUCUCUAGGACAUUCCUAAAAAAAUUUGAUUUUUUCCCAUAGGAAUGCAUGGGUUAGGGUUAGGGUUAGGGUUGGAGCUAGGGUUAGGGUUAGGGUUAGGGUUGGAGUUAGGGUUAGUGUUGGAGCUAGGGUUAGGGUUGGGCUUGGAGCUAGGAUUUUUCUGAGUGCAAUGAACCAACUCCCGAGUCUCUAGGACGUUCCUAAAAAAAUUUGAUUUUUUCCCAUAGUAAUGCAUGGGUUAGGGUUAGGGUUAGGGUUGGAGCUAGGGUUAGGGUUAGGGUUAGGGUUGGAGUUAGGGUUAGUGUUGGAGCUAGGGUUAGGGUUGGGCUUGGAGCUAGGAUUUUUCUGAGUGCAAUGAACCAACUCCCGAGUCUCUAGGACGUUCCUAAAAAAAUUUGAUUUUUUCCCAUAGGAAUGCAUAGGUUAGGGUUAGGGUUAGGGUUGGAGCUAGGGUUAGGGUUAGGGUUAGGGUUGGAGUUAGGGUUAGUGUUGGAGCUAGGGUUAGGGUUGGGCUUGGAGCUAGGAUUUUUCUGAGUGCAAUGAACCAACUCCCGAGUCUCUAGGACCUUCCUAAAAAAAUUUGAUUUUUUCCCAUAGGAAUGCAUGGGUUAGGGUUAGGGUUAGGGUUGGAGCUAGGGUUAGGGUUAGGGUUAGGGUUGGAAUUAGGGUUAGUGUUGGAGCUAGGGUUAGGGUUGGGCUUGGAGCUAGGAUUUUUCUGAGUGCAAUGAACCAACUCCCGAGUCGCUAGGACGUUCCUAAAAAAAUUUGAUUUUUUCCCAUAGUAAUGCAUGGGUUAGGGUUAGGGUUAGGGUUGGAGCUAGGGUUAGGGUUAGGGUUAGGGUUGGAGUUAGGGUUAGUGUUGGAGCUAGGGUUAGGGUUGGGCUUGGAGCUAGGAUUUUUCUGAGUGCAAUGAACCAACUCCCGAGUCUCUAGGACGUUCCUAAAAAAAUUUGAUUUUUUCCCAUAGGAAUGCAUGGGUUAGGGUUAGGGUUAGGGUUGGAGCUAGGGUUAGGGUUAGGGUUAGGGUUGGAGUUAGGGUUAGUGUUGGAGCUAGGGUUAGGGUUGGGCUUGGAGUUAGGAUUUUUCUGAGUGCACUGAACCAACUCCCGAGUCUCUAGGACGUUCCUAAAAAAUUUGAUUUUUUCCCAUAGGAAUGCAUGGGUUAGGGUUAGGGUUAGGGUUAGGGUUGGAGCUAGGGUUAGGGUUAGGGUUAGGGUUGGAGUUAGGGUUAGUGUUGGAGCUAGGGUUAGGGUUGGGCUUGGAGCUAGGAUUUUUCUGAGUGCAAUGAACCAACUCCCGAGUCUCUAGGACGUUCCUAAAAAAAUUUGAUUUUUUCCCAUAGUAAUGCAUGGGUUAGGGUUAGGGUUAGGGUUGGAGCUAGGGUUAGGGUUAGGGUUAGGGUUGGAGUUAGGGUUAGUGUUGGAGCUAGGGUUAGGGUUGGGCUUGGAGCUAGGAUUUUUCUGAGUGCACUGAACCAACUCCCAAGUCUCUAGGACGUUCCUAAAAAAAUUUGAUUUUUUCCCAUAGGAAUGCAUGGGUUAGGGUUAGGGUUAGGGUUGGAGCUAGGGUUAGGGUUAGGGUUAGGGUUGGAGUUUGGGUUAGUGUUGGAGCUAGGGUUAGGGUUGGGCUUGGAGCUAGGAUUUUUCGGAGUGCAAUGAACCAACUCCCGAGUCUCUAGGACGUUCCUAAAAAAAUUUGAUUUUUUCCCAUAGGAAUGCAUGGGUUAGGGUUAGGGUUAGGGUUGGAGCUAGGGUUAGGGUUAGGGUUAGGGUUGGAGUUAGGGUUAGUGUUGGAGCUAGGGUUAGGGUUGGGCUUGGAGCUAGGAUUUUUCUGAGUGCAAUGAACCAACUCCCGAGUCUCUAGGACAUUCCUAAAAAAAUUUGAUUUUUUCCCAUAGGAAUGCAUGGGUUAGGGUUAGGGUUAGGGUUAGGGUUGGAGCUAGGGUUAGGGUUAGGGUUAGGGUUGGAGUUAGGGUUAGUGUUGGAGCUAGGGUUAGGGUUGGGCUUGGAGCUAGGAUUUUUCUGAGUGCAAUGAACCAACUCCCGAGUCUCUAGGACGUUCCUAAAAAAAUUUGAUUUUUUCCCAUAGGAAUGCAUGGGUUAGGGUUAGGGUUAGGGUUGGAGCUAGGGUUAGGGUUAGGGUUAGGGUUGGAGUUAGGGUUAGUGUUGGAGCUAGGGUUAGGGUUGGGCUUGGAGCUAGGAUUUUUCUGAGUGCAAUGAACCAACUCCCAAGUCUCUAGGACGUUCCUAAAAAAAUUUGAUUUUUUCCCAUAGGAAUGCAUGGGUUAGGGUUAGGGUCAGGGUUAGGGUUGGAGCAAGGGUUAGGGUUAGGGUUAGGGUUGGAGUUAGGGUUAGUGUUGGAGCUAGGGUUAGGGUUGGGCUUGGAGCUAGGAUUUUUCUGAGUGCAAUGAACCAACUCCCGAGUCUCUAGGACGUUCCUAAAAAAAUUUGAUUUUUUUCCCAUAGGAAUGCAUGGGUUAGGGUUAGGGUUAGGGUUGGAGCUAGGGUUAGGGUUAGGGUAAGGGUUGGAGUUUGGGUUAGUGUUGGAGCUAGGGUUAGGGUUGGGCUUGGAGCUAGGAUUUUUCUGAGUGCAAUGAACCAACUCCCGAGUCUCUAGGACAUUCCUAAAAAAAUUUGAUUUUUUCCCAUAGGAAUGCAUGGGUUAGGGUUAGGGUUAGGGUUGGAGCUAGGGUUAGGGUUAGGGUUAGGGUUGGAGUUAGGGUUAGUGUUGGAGCUAGGGUUAGGGUUGGGCUUGGAGCUAGGAUUUUUCUGAGUGCAAUGAACCAACUCCCGAGUCUCUAGGACGUUCCUAAAAAAAUUUGAUUUUUUCCCAUAGGAAUGCAUGGGUUAGGGUUAGGGUUAGGGUUGGAGCUAGGGUUAGGGUUAGGGUUAGGGUUGGAGUUAGGGUUAGUGUUGGAGCUAGGGUUAGGGUUGGGCUUGGAGCUAGGAUUUUUCUGAGUGCAAUGAACCAACUCCCAAGUCUCUAGGACGUUCCUAAAAAAAUUGAUUUUUUCCCAUAGGAAUGCAUGGGUUAGGGUUAGGGUCAGGGUUAGGGUUGGAGCAAGGGUUAGGGUUAGGGUUAGGGUUGGAGUUAGGGUUAGUGUUGGAGCUAGGGUUAGGGUUGGGCUUGGAGCUAGGAUUUUUCUGAGUGCAAUGAACCAACUCCCGAGUCUCUAGGACGUUCCUAAAAAAAUUUGAUUUUUUCCCAUAGGAAUGCAUGGGUUAGGGUUAGGGUUAGGGUUAGGGUUGGAGCUAGGGUUAGGGUUAGGGUUAGGGUUGGAGUUAGGGUUAGUGUUGGAGCUAGGGUUAGGGUUGGGCUUGGAGCUAGGAUUUUUCUGAGUGCAAUGAACCAACUCCCGAGUCUCUAGGACGUUCCUAAAAAAAUUUGAUUUUUUCCCAUAGGAAUGCAUGGGUUAGGGUUAGGGUUAGGGUUGGAGCUAGGGUUAGGGUUAGGGUAAGGGUUGGAGUUUGGGUUAGUGUUGGAGCUAGGGUUAGGGUUGGGCUUGGAGCUAGGAUUUUUCUGAGUGCACUGAACCAACUCCCAAGUCUCUAGGACGUUCCUAAAAAAAUUUGAUUUUUUCCCAUAGGAAUGCAUGGGUUAGGGUUAGGGUUAGGGUUGGAGCUAGGGUUAGGGUUAGGGUUAGGGUUGGAGUUAGGGUUAGUGUUGGAGCUAGGGUUAGGGUUGGGCUUGGAGCUAGGAUUUUUCGGAGUGCAAUGAACCAACUCCCGAGUCUCUAGGACGUUCCUAAAAAAAUUUGAUUUUUUCCCAUAGGAAUGCAUGGGUUAGGGUUAGGGUUAGGGUUGGAGCUAGGGUUAGGGUUAGGGUUAGGGUUGGAGUUAGGGUUAGUGUUGGAGCUAGGGUUAGGGUUGGGCUUGGAGCUAGGAUUUUUCUGAGUGCAAUGAACCAACUCCCGAGUCUCUAGGACAUUCCUAAAAAAUUUGUUUUUUUCCCAUAGGAAUGCAUGGGUUAGGGUUAGGGUUAGGGUUGGAGCUAGGGUUAGGGUUAGGGUUGGAGUUAGGGUUAGUGUUGGAGCUAGGGUUAGGGUUGGGCUUGGAGCUAGGAUUUUUCGGAGUGCAAUGAACCAACUCCCGAGUCUCUAGGACGUUCCUAAAAAAAUUUGAUUUUUUCCCAUAGGAAUGCAUGGGUUAGGGUUAGGGUUAGGGUUGGAGCUAGGGUUAGGGUUAGGGUUAGGGUUGGAGUUAGGGUUAGUGUUGGAGCUAGGGUUAGGGUUGGGCUUGGAGCUAGGAUUUUUCUGAGUGCAAUGAACCAACUCCCGAGUCUCUAGGACAUUCCUAAAAAAAUUUGAUUUUUUCCCAUAGGAAUGCAUGGGUUAGGGUUAGGGUUAGGGUUGGAGCUAGGGUUAGGGUUAGGGUUAGGGUUGGAGUUAGGGUUAGUGUUGGAGCUAGGGUUAGGGUUGGGCUUGGAGCUAGGAUUUUUCUGAGUGCAAUGAACCAACUCCCGAGUCUCUAGGACGUUCCUAAAAAAAUUUGAUUUUUUCCCAUAGGAAUGCAUGGGUUAGGGUUAGGGUUAGGGUUGGAGCUAGGGUUAGGGUUAGGGUUAGGGUUGGAGUUAGGGUUAGUGUUGGAGCUAGGGUUAGGGUUGGGCUUGGAGCUAGGAUUUUUCUGAGUGCAAUGAACCAACUCCCAAGUCUCUAGGACGUUCCUAAAAAAAUUUGAUUUUUUCCCAUAGGAAUGCAUGGGUUAGGGUUAGGGUCAGGGUUAGGGUUGGAGCAAGGGUUAGGGUUAGGGUUAGGGUUGGAGUUAGGGUUAGUGUUGGAGCUAGGGUUAGGGUUGGGCUUGGAGCUAGGAUUUUUCUGAGUGCAAUGAACCAACUCCCGAGUCUCUAGGACGUUCCUAAAAAAAUUUGAUUUUUUCCCAUAGGAAUGCAUGGGUUAGGGUUAGGGUUAGGGUUAGGGUUGGAGCUAGGGUUAGGGUUAGGGUUAGGGUUGGAGUAAGGGUUAGUGUUGGAGCUAGGGUUAGGGUUGGGCUUGGAGCUAGGAUUUUUCUGAGUGCAAUGAACCAACUCCCGAGUCUCUAGGACGUUCCUAAAAAAAUUUGAUUUUUUCCCAUAGGAAUGCAUGGGUUAGGGUUAGGGUUAGGGUUGGAGCUAGGGUUAGGGUUAGGGUAAGGGUUGGAGUUUGGGUUAGUGUUGGAGCUAGGGUUAGGGUUGGGCUUGGAGCUAGGAUUUUUCUGAGUGCACUGAACCAACUCCCAAGUCUCUAGGACGUUCCUAAAAAAUUUGAUUUUUUCCCAUAGGAAUGCAUGGGUUAGGGUUAGGGUUAGGGUUGGAGCUAGGGUUAGGGUUAGGGUUAGGGUUGGAGUUUGGGUUAGUGUUGGAGCUAGGGUUAGGGUUGGGCUUGGAGCUAGGAUUUUUCGGAGUGCAAUGAACCAACUCCCGAGUCUCUAGGACGUUCCUAAAAAAAUUUGAUUUUUUCCCAUAGGAAUGCAUGGGUUAGGGUUAGGGUUAGGGUUGGAGCUAGGGUUAGGGUUAGGGUUAGGGUUGGAGUUAGGGUUAGUGUUGGAGCUAGGGUUAGGGUUGGGCUUGGAGCUAGGAUUUUUCUGAGUGCAAUGAACCAACUCCCGAGUCUCUAGGACAUUCCUAAAAAAAUUGAUUUUUUCCCAUAGGAAUGCAUGGGUUAGGGUUAGGGUUAGGGUUGGAGCUAGGGUUAGGGUUAGGGUUAGGGUUGGAGUUAGGGUUAGUGUUGGAGCUAGGGUUAGGGUUGGGCUUGGAGCUAGGAUUUUUCGGAGUGCAAUGAACCAACUCCCGAGUCUCUAGGACGUUCCUAAAAAAUUUUUAUUUUUUCCCAUAGGAAUGCAUGGGUUAGGGUUAGGGUUAGGGUUGGAGCUAGGGUUAGGGUUAGGGUUAGGGUUGGAGUUAGGGUUAGUGUUGGAGCUAGGGUUAGGGUUGGGCUUGGAGCUAGGAUUUUUCUGAGUGCAAUGAACCAACUCCCGAGUCUCUAGGACGUUCCUAAAAAAAUUAGAUUUUUUACCAUAGGAAUGCAUGGGUUAGGGUUAGGGUUAGGGUUGGAGCUAGGGUUAGGGUUAGGGUUAGGGUUGGAGUUAGGGUUAGUGUUGGAGCUAGGGUUAGGGUUGGGCUUGGAGCUAGGAUUUUUCUGAGUGCAAUGAACCAACUCCCGAGUCUCUAGGACGUUCCUAAAAAAAUUUGAUUUUUUCCCAUAGGAAUGCAUGGGUUAGGGUUAGGGUUAGGGUUGGAGCUAGAGUUAGGGUUAGGGUUAGGGUUGGAGUUAGGGUUAGUGUUGGAGCUAGGGUUAGGGUUGGGCUUGGAGCUAGGAUUUUUCUGAGUGCACUGAACCAACUCCCGAGUCUCUAGGACGUUCCUAAAAAAAUUUGAUUUUUUCCCAUAGGAAUGCAUGGGUUAGGGUUAGGGUUAGGGUUGGAGCUAGGGUUAGGGUUAGGGUUAGGGUUGGAGUUAGGGUUAGUGUUGGAGUUAGGGUUAGGGUUGGGCUUGGAGCUAGGAUUUUUCUGAGUGCACUGAACCAACUCCCGAGUCUCUAGGACGUUCCUAAAAAAAUUUGAUUUUUUCCCAUAGGAAUGCAUGGGUUAGGGUUAGGGUCAGGGUUAGGGUUGGAGCUAGGGUUAGGGUUAGGGUUAGGGUUGGAGUUAGGGUUAGUGUUGGAGCUAGGGUUAGGGUUGGGCUUGGAGCUAGGAUUUUUCUGAGUGCAAUGAACCAACUCCCGAGUCUCUAGGACGUUCCUAAAAAAAUUUGAUUUUUUCCCAUAGGAAUGCAUGGGUUAGGGUUAGGGUUAGGGUUAGGGUUGGAGCUAGGGUUAGGGUUAGGGUUAGGGUUGGAGUUAGGGUUAGUGUUGGAGCUAGGGUUAGGGUUGGGCUUGGAGCUAGGAUUUUUCUGAGUGCACUGAACCAACUCCCGAGUCUCUAGGACGUUCCUAAAAAAAUUAGAUUUUUUCCCAUAGGAAUGCAUGGGUUAGGGUUAGGGUUAGGGUUGGAGCUAGGGUUAGGGUUAGGGUUAGGGUUGGAGUUAGGGUUAGUGUUGGAGCUAGGGUUAGGGUUGGGCUUGGAGCUAGGAUUUUUCUGAGUGCACUGAACCAACUCCCGAGUCUCUAGGACGUUCCUAAAAAAAUUUGAUUUUUUCCCAUAGGAAUGCAUGGGUUAGGGUUAGGGUUAGGGUUAGGGUUGGAGCUAGGGUUAGGGUUAGGGUUGGAGUUAGGGUUAGUGUUGGAGCUAGGGUUAGGGUUGGGCUUGGAGCUAGGAUUUUUCUGAGUGCAAUGAACCAACUCCCGAGUCUCUAGGACGUUCCUAAAAAAAUUUGAUUUUUUCCCAUAGGAAUGCAUGGGUUAGGGUUAGGGUUAGGGUUGGAGCUAGGGUUAGGGUUGGGCUUGGAGCUAGGAUUUUUCUGAGUGCAAUGAACCAACUCCCGAGUCUCUAGGACGUUCCUAAAAAAAUUUGAUUUUUUCCCAUAGGAAUGCAUGGGUUAGGGUUAGGGUUAGGGUUGGAGCUAGGGUUAGGGUUAGGGUUAGGGUUGGAGUUAGGGUUAGUGUUGGAGCUAGGGUUAGGGUUGGGCUUGGAGCUAGGAUUUUUCUGAGUGCAAUGAACCAACUCCCGAGUCUCUAGGACGUUCCUAAAAAAAUUUGAUUUUUUCCCAUAGGAAUGCAUGGGUUAGGGUUAGGGUCAGGGUUAGGGUUGGAGCUAGGGUUAGGGUUAGGGUUAGGGUUGGAGUUAGGGUUAGUGUUGGAGCUAGGGUUAGGGUUGGGCUUGGAGCUAGGAUUUUUCUGAGUGCAAUGAACCAACUCCCGAGUCUCUAGGACGUUCCUAAAAAAAUUUGAUUUUUUCCCAUAGGAAUGCAUGGGUUAGGGUUAGGGUUAGGGUUGGAGCUAGGGUUAGGGUUAGGGUUAGGGUUGGAGUUAGGGUUAGUGUUGGAGCUAGGGUUAGGGUUGGGCUUGGAGCUAGGAUUUUUCUGAGUGCACUGAACCAACUCCCGAGUCUCUAGGACGUUCCUAAAAAAAUUUGAUUUUUUCCCAUAGGAAUGCAUGGGUUAGGGUUAGGGUUAGGGUUGGAGCUAGGGUUAGGGUUAGGGUUAGGGUUGGAGUUAGGGUUAGUGUUGGAGCUAGGGUUAGGGUUGGGCUUGGAGCUAGGAUUUUUCUGAGUGCACUGAACCAACUCCCGAGUCUCUAGGACGUUCCUAAAAAAAUUUGAUUUUUUCCCAUAGGAAUGCAUGGGUUAGGGUUAGGGUUAGGGUUGGAGCUAGGGUUAGGGUUAGGGUUAGGGUUAGGGUUGGAGUUAGGGUUAGUGUUGGAGCUAGGGUUAGGGUUGGGCUUGGAGCUAGGAUUUUUCUGAGUGCACUGAACCAACUCCCAAGUCUCUAGGACGUUCCUAAAAAAAUUUGAUUUUUUCCCAUAGGAAUGCAUGGGUUAGGGUUAGGGUUAGGGUUGGAGCUAGGGUUAGGGUUAGGGUUAGGGUUGGAGUUAGGGUUAGUGUUGGAGCUAGGGUUAGGGUUGGGCUUGGAGCUAGGAUUUUUCGGAGUGCAAUGAACCAACUCCCGAGUCUCUAGGACGUUCCUAAAAAAAUUUGAUUUUUUCCCAUAGGAAUGCAUGGGUUAGGGUUAGGGUUAGGGUUGGAGCUAGGGUUAGGGUUAGGGUUAGGGUUGGAGUUAGGGUUAGUGUUGGAGCUAGGGUUAGGGUUGGGCUUGGAGCUAGGAUUUUUCUGAGUGCAAUGAACCAACUCCCGAGUCUCUAGGACGUUCCUAAAAAAAUUUGAUUUUUUCCCAUAGGAAUGCAUGGGUUAGGGUUAGGGUUAGGGUUGGAGCUAGGGUUAGGGUUAGGGUUAGGGUUGGAAUUAGGGUUAGUGUUGGAGCUAGGGUUAGGGUUGGGCUUGGAGCUAGGAUUUUUCGGAGUGCAAUGAACCAACUCCCGAGUCUCUAGGACGUUCCUAAAAAAAUUUGAUUUUUUCCCAUAGUAAUGCAUGGGUUAGGGUUAGGGUUAGGGUUGGAGCUAGGGUUAGGGUUAGGGUUAGGGUUGGAGUUAGGGUUAGUGUUGGAGCUAGGGUUAGGGUUGGGCUUGGAGCUAGGAUUUUUCUGAGUGCAAUGAACCAACUCCUGAGUCUCUAGGACGUUCCUAAAAAAAUUUGAUUUUUUCCCAUAGGAAUGCAUGGGUUAGGGUUAGGGUUAGGGUUUGAGCUAGGGUUAGGGUUAGGGUUAGGGUUGGAGUUAGGGUUAGUGUUGGAGCUAGGGUUAGGGUUGGGCUUGGAGCUAGGAUUUUUCUGAGUGCACUGAACCAACUCCCGAGUCUAUAGGACGUUCCUAAAUAAAUUUGAUUUUUUCCCAUAGGAACGCAUGGGUUAGGGUUAGGGUUAGGGUUGGAGCUAGGGUUAGGGUUAGGGUUAGGAUUGGAGUUAGGGUUAGUGUUGGAGCUAGGGUUAGGGUUGGGCUUGGAGCUAGGAUUUUUCUGAGUGCACUGAACCAACUCCCGAGUCUCUAGGACGUUCCUAAAAAAAUUUGAUUUUUUCCCAUAGGAAUGCAUGGGUUAGGGUUAGGGUUAGGGUUGGAGCUAGGGUUAGGGUUAGGGUUGGAGUUAGGGUUAGUGUUGGAGCUAGGGUUAGGGUUGGGCUUGGAGCUAGGAUUUUUCUGAGUGCACUGAACCAACUCCCGAGUCUCUAGGACGUUCCUAAAAAAAUUUGAUUUUUUCCCAUAGGAAUGCAUGGGUUAGGGUUAGGGUUAGGGUUGGAGCUAGGGUUAGGGUUAGGGUUAGGGUUGGAGUUAGGGUUAGUGUUGGAGCUAGGGUUAGGGUUGGGCUUGGAGCUAGGAUUUUUCUGAGUGCACUGAACCAACUCCCGAGUCUCUAGGACGUUCCUAAAAAAAUUUGAUUUUUUCCCAUAGGAAUGCAUGGGUUAGGGUUAGGGUUAGGGUUAGGGUUGGAGCUAGGGUUAGGGUUAGGGUUAGGGUUGGAGUUAGGGUUAGUGUUGGAGCUAGGGUUAGGGUUGGGCUUGGAGCUAGGAUUUUUCUGAGUGCAAUGAACCAACUCCCGAGUCUCUAGGACGUUCCUAAAAAAAUUUGAUUUUUUCCCAUAGGAAUGCAUGGGUUAGGGUUAGGGUUAGGGUUGGAGCUAGGGUUAGGGUUAGGGUUAGGGUUGGAAUUAGGGUUAGUGUUGGAGCUAGGGUUAGGGUUGGGCUUGGAGCUAGGAUUUUUCUGAGUGCAAUGAACCAACUCCCGAGUCUCUAGGACGUUCCUAAAAAAAUUUGAUUUUUUCCCAUAGGAAUGCAUGGGUUAGGGUUAGGGUUAGGGUUGGAGCUAGGGUUAGGGUUAGGGUUAGGGUUGGAAUUAGGGUUAGUGUUGGAGCUAGGGUUAGGGUUGGGCUUGGAGCUAGGAUUUUUCUGAGUGCAAUGAACCAACUCCCGAGUCUCUAGGACGUUCCUAAAAAAAUUUGAUUUUUUCCCAUAGUAAUGCAUGGGUUAGGGUUAGGGUUAGGGUUGGAGCUAGGGUUAGGGUUAGGGUUAGGGUUGGAGUUAGGGUUAGUGUUGGAGCUAGGGUUAGGGUUGGGCUUGGAGCUAGGAUUUUUCUGAGUGCAAUGAACCAACUCCCGAGUCUCUAGGACGUUCCUAAAAAAAUUUGAUUUUUUCCCAUAGGAAUGCAUGGGUUAGGGUUAGGGUUAGGGUUGGAGCUAGGGUUAGGGUUAGGGUUAGGGUUGGAGUUAGGGUUAGUGUUGGAGCUAGGGUUAGGGUUGGGCUUGGAGCUAGGAUUUUUCUGAGUGCAAUGAACCAACUCCCGAGUCUCUAGGACGUUCCUAAAAUUUUUUUAUUUUUUCCCAUAGGAAUGCAUGGGUUAGGGUUAGGGUUAGGGUUGGAGCUAGGGUUAGGGUUAGGGUUAGGGUUGGAGUUAGGGUUAGUGUUGGAGCUAGGGUUAGGGUUGGGCUUGUAGCUAGGAUUUUUCUGAGUGCAAUGAACCAACUCCCGAGUCUCUAGGACAUUCCUAAAAAAAUUGAUUUUUUCCCAUAGGAAUGCAUGGGUUAGGGUUAGGGUUAGGGUUGGAGCUAGGGUUAGGGUUAGGGUUAGGGUUGGAGUUAGGGUUAGUGUUGGAGCUAGGGUUAGGGUUGGGCUUGGAGCUAGGAUUUUUCUGAGUGCAAUGAACCAACUCCCGAGUCUCUAGGACGUUCCUAAAAAAAUUUGAUUUUUUCCCAUAGUAAUGCAUGGGUUAGGGUUAGGGUUAGGGUUGGAGCUAGGGUUAGGGUUAGGGUUAGGGUUGGAGUUAGGGUUAGUGUUGGAGCUAGGGUUAGGGUUGGGCUUGGAGCUAGGAUUUUUCUGAGUGCAAUGAACCAACUCCCGAGUCUCUAGGACGUUCCUAAAAAAAUUUGAUUUUUUCCCAUAGGAAUGCAUGGGUUAGGGUUAGGGUUAGGGUUGGAGCUAGGGUUAGGGUUAGGGUUAGGGUUGGAGUUAGGGUUAGUGUUGGAGCUAGGGUUAGGGUUGGGCUUGGAGCUAGGAUUUUUCUGAGUGCACUGAACCAACUCCCGAGUCUCUAGGACGUUCCUAAAAAAAUUAGAUUUUUUCCCAUAGGAAUGCAUGGGUUAGGGUUAGGGUUAGGGUUAGGGUUGGAGCUAGGGUUAGGGUUAGGGUUAGGGUUGGAGUUAGGGUUAGUGUUGGAGCUAGGGUUAGGGUUGGGCUUGGAGCUAGGAUUUUUCUGAGUGCAAUGAACCAACUCCCGAGUCUCUAGGACAUUCCUAAAAAAAUUUGAUUUUUUCCCAUAGGAAUGCAUGGGUUAGGGUUAGGGUUAGGGUUGGAGCUAGGGUUAGGGUUAGGGUUAGGGUUGGAAUUAGGGUUAGUGUUGGAGCUAGGGUUAGGGUUGGGCUUGGAGCUAGGAUUUUUCGGAGUGCAAUGAACCAACUCCCGAGUCUCUAGGACGUUCCUAAAAAAAUUUGAUUUUUUCCCAUAGUAAUGCAUGGGUUAGGGUUAGGGUUAGGGUUGGAGCUAGGGUUAGGGUUAGGGUUAGGGUUGGAGUUAGGGUUAGUUUUGGAGCUAGGGUUAGGGUUGGGCUUGGAGCUAGGAUUUUUCUGAGUGCAAUGAACCAACUCCUGAGUCUCUAGGACGUUCCUAAAAAAAUUGAUUUUUUCCCAUAGGAAUGCAUGGGUUAGGGUUAGGGUUAGGGUUUGAGCUAGGGUUAGGGUUAGGGUUAGGGUUGGAGUUAGGGUUAGUGUUGGAGCUAGGGUUAGGGUUGGGCUUGGAGCUAGGAUUUUUCUGAGUGCAAUGAACCAACUCCCGAGUCUCUAGGACGUUCCUAAAAAAAUUUGAUUUUUUCCCAUAGGAAUGCAUGGGUUAGGGUUAGGGUUAGGGUUGGAGCUAGGGUUAGGGUUAGGGUUAGGAUUGGAGUUAGGGUUAGUGUUGGAGCUAGGGUUAGGGUUGGGCUUGGAGCUAGGAUUUUUCUGAGUGCAAUGAACCAACUCCCGAGUCUCUAGGACGUUCCUAAAAAAAUUUGAUUUUUUCCCAUAGGAAUGCAUGGGUUAGGGUUAGGGUUAGGGUUGGAGCUAGGGUUAGGGUUAGGGUUAGGAUUAGGGUUAGUGUUGGAGCUAGGGUUAGGGUUGGGCUUGGAGCUAGGAUUUUUCUGAGUGCACUGAACCAACUCCCGAGUCUCUAGGACGUUCCUAAAAAAAUUAGAUUUUUUCCCAUAGGAAUGCAUGGGUUAGGGUUAGGGUUAGGGUUAGGGUUGGAGCUAGGGUUAGGGUUAGGGUUAGGGUUGGAGUUAGGGUUAGUGUUGGAGCUAGGGUUAGGGUUGGGCUUGGAGCUAGGAUUUUUCUGAGUGCAAUGAACCAACUCCCGAGUCUCUAGGACAUUCCUAAAAAAAUUUGAUUUUUUCCCAUAGGAAUGCAUGGGUUAGGGUUAGGGUUAGGGUUGGAGCUAGGGUUAGGGUUAGGGUUAGGGUUGGAGUUAGGGUUAGUGUUGGAGCUAGGGUUAGGGUUGGGCUUGGAGCUAGGAUUUUUCUGAGUGCAAUGAACCAACUCCCGAGUCUCUAGGACGUUCCUAAAAAAAAUUGAUUUUUUCCCAUAGGAAUGCAUGGGUUAGGGUUAGGGUUAGGGUUUGAGCUAGGGUUAGGGUUAGGGUUAGGGUUGGAGUUAGGGUUAGUGUUGGAGCUAGGGUUAGGGUUGGGCUUGGAGCUAGGAUUUUUCUGAGUGCAAUGAACCAACUCCCGAGUCUCUAGGACGUUCCUAAAAAAAAUUUGAUUUUUUCCCAUAGGAAUGCAUGGGUUAGGGUUAGGGUUAGGGUUGGAGCUAGGGUUAGGGUUAGGGUUAGGGUUGGAGUUAGGGUUAGUGUUGGAGCUAGGGUUAGGGUUGGGCUUGGAGCUAGGAUUUUUCUGAGUGCACUGAACCAACUCCCGAGUCUAUAGGACGUUCCUAAAAAAAUUUGAUUUUUUCCCAUAGGAACGCAUGGGUUAGGGUUAGGGUUAGGGUUGGAGCUAGGGUUAGGGUUAGGGUUAGGAUUGGAGUUAGGGUUAGUGUUGGAGCUAGGGUUAGGGUUGGGCUUGGAGCUAGGAUUUUUCUGAGUGCACUGAACCAACUCCCGAGUCUCUAGGACGUUCCUAAAAAAAUUUUGAUUUUUUCCCAUAGGAAUGCAUGGGUUAGGGUUAGGGUUAGGGUUGGAGCUAGGGUUAGGGUUAGGGUUGGAGUUAGGGUUAGUGUUGGAGCUAGGGUUAGGGUUGGGCUUGGAGCUAGGAUUUUUCUGAGUGCACUGAACCAACUCCCGAGUCUCUAGGACGUUCCUAAAAAUUUGAUUUUUUCCCAUAGGAAUGCAUGGGUUAGGGUUAGGGUUAGGGUUGGAGCUAGGGUUAGGGUUAGGGUUAGGGUUGGAGUUAGGGUUAGUGUUGGAGCUAGGGUUAGGGUUGGGCUUGGAGCUAGGAUUUUUCUGAGUGCAAUGAACCAACUCCCGAGUCUCUAGGACGUUCCUAAAAAAAUUUGAUUUUUUCCCAUAGGAAUGCAUGGGUUAGGGUUAGGGUUAGGGUUAGGGUUGGAGCUAGGGUUAGGGUUAGGGUUAGGGUUGGAGUUAGGGUUAGUGUUGGAGCUAGGGUUAGGGUUGGGCUUGGAGCUAGGAUUUUUCUGAGUGCAAUGAACCAACUCCCGAGUCUCUAGGACGUUCCUAAAAAAAUUUGAUUUUUUCCCAUAGGAAUGCAUGGGUUAGGGUUAGGGUUAGGGUUGGAGCUAGGGUUAGGGUUAGGGUUGGAGCUAGGGUUAGGGUUAGGGUUAGGGUUGGAGUUAGGGUUAGUGUUGGAGCUAGGGUUAGGGUUGGGCUUGGAGCUAGGAUUUUUCUGAGUGCAAUGAACCAACUCCCGAGUCUCUAGGACGUUCCUAAAAAAAUUUGAUUUUUUCCCAUAGGAAUGCAUGGGUUAGGGUUAGGGUUAGGGUUGGAGCUAGGGUUAGGGUUAGGGUUAGGGUUAGUGUUGGAGCUAGGGUUAGGGUUGGGCUUGGAGCUAGGAUUUUUCUGAGUGCAAUGAACCAACUCCCGAGUCUCUAGGACGUUCCUAAAAAAAUUUGAUUUUUUCCCAUAGGAAUGCAUGGGUUAGGGUUAGGGUUAGGGUUGGAGCUAGGGUUAGGGUUAGGGUUAGGGUUGGAGUUAGGGUUAGUGUUGGAGCUAGGGUUAGGGUUGGGCUUGGAGCUAGGAUUUUUCUGAGUGCAAUGAACCAACUCCCGAGUCUCUAGGACGUUCCUAAAAUUUUUUUAUUUUUUCCCAUAGGAAUGCAUGGGUUAGGGUUAGGGUUAGGGUUGGAGCUAGGGUUAGGGUUAGGGUUAGGGUUGGAGUUAGGGUUAGUGUUGGAGCUAGGGUUAGGGUUGGGCUUGGAGCUAGGAUUUUUCUGAGUGCAAUGAACCAACUCCCGAGUCUCUAGGACGUUCCUAAAAAAAUUUGAUUUUUUCCCAUAGGAAUGCAUGGGUUAGGGUUAGGGUUAGGGUUGGAGCUAGGGUUAGGGUUAGGGUUAGGGUUGGAGUUAGGGUUAGUGUUGGAGCUAGGGUUAGGGUUGGGCUUGGAGCUAGGAUUUUUCUGAGUGCACUGAACCAACUCCCGAGUCUCUAGGACGUUCCUAAAAAAAUUUGAUUUUUUCCCAUAGGAAUGCAUGGGUUAGGGUUAGGGUUAGGGUUGGAGCUAGGGUUAGGGUUAGGGUUGGAGUUAGGGUUAGUGUUGGAGCUAGGGUUAGGGUUGGGCUUGGAGCUAGGAUUUUUCUGAGUGCACUGAACCAACUCCCGAGUCUCUAGGACGUUCCUAAAAAAAUUUGAUUUUUUCCCAUAGGAAUGCAUGGGUUAGGGUUAGGGUUAGGGUUAGGGUUGGAGCUAGGGUUAGGGUUAGGGUUAGGGUUGGAGUUAGGGUUAGUGUUGGAGCUAGGGUUAGGGUUGGGCUUGGAGCUAGGAUUUUUCUGAGUGCAAUGAACCAACUCCCGAGUCUCUAGGACGUUCCUAAAAAAAUUUGAUUUUUUCCCAUAGGAAUGCAUGGGUUAGGGUUAGGGUUAGGGUUGGAGCUAGGGUUAGGGUUAGGGUUAGGGUUAGGGUUAGGGUUAGGGUUGGAAUUAGGGUUAGUGUUGGAGCUAGGGUUAGGGUUGGGCUUGGAGCUAGGAUUUUUCUGAGUGCAAUGAACCAACUCCCGAGUCUCUAGGACGUUCCUAAAAAAAUUUGAUUUUUUCCCAUAGGAAUGCAUGGGUUAGGGUUAGGGUUAGGGUUGGAGCUAGGGUUAGGGUUAGGGUUAGGGUUAGUGUUGGAGCUAGGGUUAGGGUUGGGCUUGGAGCUAGGAUUUUUCUGAGUGCACUGAACCAACUCCCGAGUCUCUAGGACGUUCCUAAAAAAAUUUGAUUUUUUCCCAUAGGAAUGCAUGGGUUAGGGUUAGGGUUAGGGUUGGAGCUAGGGUUAGGGUUAGGGUUAGGGUUGGAGUUAGGGUUAGUGUUGGAGCUAGGGUUAGGGUUGGGCUUGGAGCUAGGAUUUUUCUGAGUGCAAUGAACCAACUCCCGAGUCUCUAGGACGUUCCUAAAAUUUUUUAUUUUUUCCCAUAGGAAUGCAUGGGUUAGGGUUAGGGUUAGGGUUGGAGCUAGGGUUAGGGUUAGGGUUAGGGUUGGAGUUAGGGUUAGUGUUGGAGCUAGGGUUAGGGUUGGGCUUGGAGCUAGGAUUUUUCUGAGUGCACUGAACCAACUCCCGAGUCUAUAGGACGUUCCUAAAAAAAUUUGAUUUUUUCCCAUAGGAACGCAUGGGUUAGGGUUAGGGUUAGGGUUGGAGCUAGGGUUAGGGUUAGGGUUAGGAUUGGAGUUAGGGUUAGUGUUGGAGCUAGGGUUAGGGUUGGGCUUGGAGCUAGGAUUUUUCUGAGUGCACUGAACCAACUCCCGAGUCUCUAGGACGUUCCUAAAAAAAUUUGAUUUUUUCCCAUAGGAAUGCAUGGGUUAGGGUUAGGGUUAGGGUUGGAGCUAGGGUUAGGGUUAGGGUUGGAGUUAGGGUUAGUGUUGGAGCUAGGGUUAGGGUUGGGCUUGGAGCUAGGAUUUUUCUGAGUGCACUGAACCAACUCCCGAGUCUCUAGGACGUUCCUAAAAAAAUUUGAUUUUUUCCCAUAGGAAUGCAUGGGUUAGGGUUAGGGUUAGGGUUGGAGCUAGGGUUAGGGUUAGGGUUGGAGUUAGGGUUAGUGUUGGAGCUAGGGUUAGGGUUGGGCUUGGAGCUAGGAUUUUUCUGAGUGCACUGAACCAACUCCCGAGUCUCUAGGACGUUCCUAAAAAAAUUUGAUUUUUUCCCAUAGGAAUGCAUGGGUUAGGGUUAGGGUUAGGGUUGGAGCUAGGGUUAGGGUUAGGGUUAGGGUUGGAGUUAGGGUUAGUGUUGGAGCUAGGGUUAGGGUUGGGCUUGGAGCUAGGAUUUUUCUGAGUGCAAUGAACCAACUCCCGAGUCUCUAGGACGUUCCUAAAAAAAUUUGAUUUUUUCCCAUAGGAAUGCAUGGGUUAGGGUUAGGGUUAGGGUUGGAGCUAGGGUUAGGGUUAGGGUUAGGGUUGGAGUUACGGUUAGUGUUGUAGCUAGGGUUAGGGUUGGGCUUGGAGCUAGGAUUUUUCUGAGUGCACUGAACCAACUCCCGAGUCUCUAGGACGUUCCUAAAAAAAUUUGAUUUUUUCCCAUAGGAAUGCAUGGGUUAGGGUUAGGGUUAGGGUUAGGGUUGGAGCUAGGGUUAGGGUUAGGGUUAGGGUUGGAGUUAGGGUUAGUGUUGGAGCUAGGGUUAGGGUUGGGCUUGGAGCUAGGAUUUUUCUGAGUGCAAUGAACCAACUCCCGAGUCUCUAGGACGUUCCUAAAAAAAUUUGAUUUUUUCCCAUAGGAAUGCAUGGGUUAGGGUUAGGGUUAGGGUUAGGGUUGGAGCUAGGGUUAGGGUUAGGGUUAGGGUUGGAGUUAGGGUUAGUGUUGGAGCUAGGGUUAGGGUUGGGCUUGGAGCUAGGAUUUUUCUGAGUGCACUGAACCAACUCCCGAGUCUCUAGGACGUUCCUAAAAAAAUUUGAUUUUUUCCCAUAGGAAUGCAUGGGUUAGGGUUAGGGUUAGGGUUGGAGCUAGGGUUAGGGUUAGGGUUAGGGUUGGAAUUAGGGUUAGUGUUGGAGCUAGGGUUAGGGUUGGGCUUGGAGCUAGGAUUUUUCUGAGUGCAAUGAACCAACUCCCGAGUCUCUAGGACGUUCCUAAAAAAAUUUGAUUUUUUCCCAUAGGAAUGCAUGGGUUAGGGUUAGGGUUAGGGUUGGAGCUAGGGUUAGGGUUAGGGUUAGGGUUGGAAUUAGGGUUAGUGUUGGAGCUAGGGUUAGGGUUGGGCUUGGAGCUAGGAUUUUUCUGAGUGCAAUGAACCAACUCCCGAGUCUCUAGGACGUUCCUAAAAAAAUUUGAUUUUUUCCCAUAGUAAUGCAUGGGUUAGGGUUAGGGUUAGGGUUGGAGCUAGGGUUAGGGUUAGGGUUAGGGUUGGAGUUAGGGUUAGUGUUGGAGCUAGGGUUAGGGUUGGGCUUGGAGCUAGGAUUUUUCUGAGUGCAAUGAACCAACUCCCGAGUCUCUAGGACGUUCCUAAAAAAAUUUGAUUUUUUCCCAUAGGAAUGCAUGGGUUAGGGUUAGGGUUAGGGUUAGGGUUAGGGUUAGGGUUAGGGUUGGAGUUAGGGUUAGUGUUGGAGCUAGGGUUAGGGUUGGGCUUGGAGCUAGGAUUUUUCUGAGUGCAAUGAACCAACUCCCGAGUCUCUAGGACGUUCCCAAAAAAAUUGAUUUUUUCCCAUAGGAAUGCAUGGGUUAGGGUUAGGGUUAGGGUUAGGGUUGGAGCUAGGGUUAGGGUUAGGGUUAGGGUUGGAGUUAGGGUUAGUGUUGGAGCUAGGGUUAGGGUUGGGCUUGGAGCUAGGAUUUUUCUGAGUGCAAUGAACCAACUCCUGAGUCUCUAGGACGUUCCUAAAAAAAUUUGAUUUUUUCCCAUAGGAAUGCAUGGGUUAGGGUUAGGGUUAGGGUUGGAGCUAGGGUUAGGGUUAGGGUUAGGGUUGGAGUUAGGGUUAGUGUUGGAGCUAGGGUUAGGGUUGGGCUUGGAGCUAGGAUUUUUCUGAGUGCAAUGAACCAACUCCCGAGUCUCUAGGACGUUCCUAAAAAAAUUUGAUUUUUUCCCAUAGGAUUGCAUGGGUUAGGGUUAGGGUUAGGGUUAGGGUUGGAGCUAGGGUUAGGGUUAGGGUUAGGGUUGGAGUUAGGGUUAGUGUUGGAGCUAGGGUUAGGGUUGGGCUUGGAGCUAGGAUUUUUCGGAGUGCAAUGAACCAACUCCCGAGUCUCUAGGACGUUCCUAAAAAAAUUUGAUUUUUUCCCAUAGGAAUGCAUGGGUUAGGGUUAGGGUUAGGGUUGGAGCUAGGGUUAGGGUUAGGGUUAGGGUUGGAGUUGGAGCUAGGGUUAGGGUUGGGCUUGGAGCUAGGAUUUUUCUGAGUGCAAUGAACCAACUCCCGAGUCUCUAGGACGUUCCUAAAAAAAUUUGAUUUUUUCCCAUAGGAAUGCAUGGGUUAGGGUUAGGGUUAGGGUUUGAGCUAGGGUUAGGGUUAGGGUUAGGGUUGGAGUUAGGGUUAGUGUUGGAGCUAGGGUUAGGGUUGGGCUUGGAGCUAGGAUUUUUCUGAGUGCACUGAACCAACUCCCGAGUCUCUAGGACGUUCCUAAAAAAAUUUGAUUUUUUCCCAUAGGAAUGCAUGGGUUAGGGUUAGGGUUAGGGUUAGGGUUGGAGCUAGGGUUAGGGUUAGGGUUAGGGUUAGGGUUGGAGUUAGGGUUAGUGUUGGAGCUAGGGUUAGGGUUGGGCUUGGAGCUAGGAUUUUUCGGAGUGCAAUGAACCAACUCCCGAGUCUCUAGGACGUUCCUAAAAAUUUUUUAUUUUUUCCCAUAGGAAUGCAUGGGUUAGGGUUAGGGUUAGGGUUGGAGCUAGGGUUAGGGUUAGGGUUAGGGUUGGAGUUAGGGUUAGUGUUGGAGCUAGGGUUAGGGUUGGGCUUGGAGCUAGGAUUUUUCUGAGUGCAAUGAACCAACUCCGAGUCUCUAGGACAUUCCUAAAAAAAUUUGAUUUUUUUCCCAUAGGAAUGCAUGGGUUAGGGUUAGGGUUAGGGUUGGAGCUAGGGUUAGGGUUAGGGUUAGGGUUGGAGUUAGGGUUAGUGUUGGAGCUAGGGUUAGGGUUGGGCUUGGAGCUAGGAUUUUUCUGAGUGCAAUGAACCAACUCCCGAGUCUCUAGGACGUUCCUAAAAAAAUUUGAUUUUUUCCCAUAGGAAUGCAUGGGUUAGGGUUAGGGUUAGGGUUUGAGCUAGGGUUAGGGUUAGGGUUAGGGUUGGAGUUAGGGUUAGUGUUGGAGCUAGGGUUAGGGUUGGGCUUGGAGCUAGGAUUUUUCUGAGUGCACUGAACCAACUCCCGAGUCUCUAGGACGUUCCUAAAAAAAUUUGAUUUUUUCCCAUAGGAAUGCAUGGGUUAGGGUUAGGGUUAGGGUUAGGGUUGGAGCUAGGGUUAGGGUUAGGGUUAGGGUUGGAGUUAGGGUUAGUGUUGGAGCUAGGGUUAGGGUUGGGCUUGGAGCUAGGAUUUUUCGGAGUGCAAUGAACCAACUCCCGAGUCUCUAGGACGUUCCUAAAAAAUUUUUAUUUUUUCCCAUAGGAAUGCAUGGGUUAGGGUUAGGGUUAGGAUUGGAGCUAGGGUUAGGGUUAGGGUUAGGGUUGGAGUUGGAGCUAGGGUUAGGGUUGGGCUUGGAGCUAGGAUUUUUCUGAGUGCAAUGAACCAACUCCCGAGUCUCUAGGACGUUCCCAAAAAAAUUUGAUUUUUUCCCAUAGGAAUGCAUGGGUUAGGGUUAGGGUUAGGGUUGGAGCUAGGGUUAGGGUUAGGGUUAGGGUUGGAGUUAGGGUUAGUGUUGGAGCUAGGGUUAGGGUUGGGCUUGGAGCUAGGAUUUUUCUGAGUGCAAUGAACCAACUCCCGAGUCUCUAGGACGUUCCUAAAAAAAUUUGAUUUUUUCCCAUAGGAAUGCAUGGGUUAGGGUUAGGGUUAGGGUUUGAGCUAGGGUUAGGGUUAGGGUUAGGGUUGGCGUUAGGGUUAGUGUUGGAGCUAGGGUUAGGGUUGGGCUUGGAGCUAGGAUUUUUCUGAGUGCACUGAACCAACUCCCGAGUCUCUAGGACGUUCCUAAAAAAAUUUGAUUUUUUCCCAUAGGAAUGCAUGGGUUAGGGUUAGGGUUAGGGUUGGAGCUAGGGUUAGGGUUAGGGUUAGGGUUGGAGUUAGGGUUAGUGUUGGAGCUAGGGUUAGGGUUGGGCUUGGAGCUAGGAUUUUUCUGAGUGCACUGAACCAACUCCCGAGUCUCUAGGACGUUCCUAAAAAAAUUUGAUUUUUCCCAUAGGAAUGCAUGGGUUAGGGUUAGGGUUAGGGUUAGGGUUGGAGCUAGGGUUAGGGUUAGGGUUAGGGUUGGAGUUAGGGUUAGUGUUGGAGCUAGGGUUAGGGUUGGGCUUGGAGCUAGGAUUUUUCUGAGUGCACUGAACCAACUCCCAAGUCUCUAGGACGUUCCUAAAAAAAUUUGAUUUUUUCCCAUAGGAAUGCAUGGGUUAGGGUUAGGGUUAGGGUUAGGGUUGGAGCUAGGGUUAGGGUUGGAGUUAGGGUUAGUGUUGGAGCUAGGGUUAG